GUCCUCAGUUCCAUGCCACCCUGAACAAACCCAAUGUCUGAUCUCGGAAACUAAGCAGAGUCAGGCCUGGUUAGAACUUGGAUGGGAGACCACCUAGGAAGACCAGGUGUUGUAGGCA
rnacentral:rRNA from 1 species